GAUUAAGUUAUUAAGGGCGCACGGUGGAUGCCUUGGCACUAGAAGCCGAUGAAGGACGUUACUAACGACGAUAUACUUUGGGGAGCUGUAAGUAAGCUUUGAUCCAGAGAUUUCCGAAUGGGGAAACCCAGCAUGAGUUAUGUCAUGUUAUCGAUAUGUGAAUACAUAGCAUAUCAGAAGGCACACCCGGAGAACUGAAACAUCUUAGUACCCGGAGGAAGAGAAAGAAAAUUCGAUUCCCUUAGUAGCGGCGAGCGAAACGGGAAGAGCCCAAACCAACAAGCUUGCUUGUUGGGGUUGUAGGACACUCUAUACGGAGUUACAAAGGACGACAUUAGACGAAUCAUCUGGAAAGAUGAAUCAAAGAAGGUAAUAAUCCUGUAGUCGAAAAUGUUGUCUCUCUUGAGUGGAUCCUGAGUACGACGGAGCACGUGAAAUUCCGUCGGAAUCUGGGAGGACCAUCUCCUAAGGCUAAAUACUCUCUAGUGACCGAUAGUGAACCAGUACCGUGAGGGAAAGGUGAAAAGCACCCCGGAAGGGGAGUGAAAUAGAACCUGAAACCGUGUGCUUACAAGUAGUCAGAGCCCGUUAAUGGGUGAUGGCGUGCCUUUUGUAGAAUGAACCGGCGAGUUACGAUUUGAUGCAAGGUUAAGCAGUAAAUGUGGAGCCGUAGCGAAAGCGAGUCUGAAUAGGGCGUUUAGUAUUUGGUCGUAGACCCGAAACCAGGUGAUCUACCCUUGGUCAGGUUGAAGUUCAGGUAACACUGAAUGGAGGACCGAACCGACUUACGUUGAAAAGUGAGCGGAUGAACUGAGGGUAGCGGAGAAAUUCCAAUCGAACCUGGAGAUAGCUGGUUCUCUCCGAAAUAGCUUUAGGGCUAGCCUCAAGUGAUGAUUAUUGGAGGUAGAGCACUGUUUGGACGAGGGGCCCCUCUCGGGUUACCGAAUUCAGACAAACUCCGAAUGCCAAUUAAUUUAACUUGGGAGUCAGAACAUGGGUGAUAAGGUCCGUGUUCGAAAGGGAAACAGCCCAGACCACCAGCUAAGGUCCCAAAAUAUAUGUUAAGUGGAAAAGGAUGUGGCGUUGCCCAGACAACUAGGAUGUUGGCUUAGAAGCAGCCAUCAUUUAAAGAGUGCGUAAUAGCUCACUAGUCGAGUGACACUGCGCCGAAAAUGUACCGGGGCUAAACAUAUUACCGAAGCUGUGGAUUGUCCUUUGGACAAUGGUAGGAGAGCGUUCUAAGGGCGUUGAAGCAUGAUCGUAAGGACAUGUGGAGCGCUUAGAAGUGAGAAUGCCGGUGUGAGUAGCGAAAGAUGGGUGAGAAUCCCGUCCACCGAUUGACUAAGGUUUCCAGAGGAAGGCUCGUCCGCUCUGGGUUAGUCGGGUCCUAAGCUGAGGCCGACAGGCGUAGGCGAUGGAUAACAGGUUGAUAUUCCUGUACCACCUAUAAUCGUUUUAAUCGAUGGGGGGACGCAGUAGGAUAGGCGAAGCGUGCGAUUGGAUUGCACGUCUAAGCAGUAAGGCUGAGUAUUAGGCAAAUCCGGUACUCGUUAAGGCUGAGCUGUGAUGGGGAGAAGACAUUGUGUCUUCGAGUCGUUGAUUUCACACUGCCGAGAAAAGCCUCUAGAUAGAAAAUAGGUGCCCGUACCGCAAACCGACACAGGUAGUCAAGAUGAGAAUUCUAAGGUGAGCGAGCGAACUCUCGUUAAGGAACUCGGCAAAAUGACCCCGUAACUUCGGGAGAAGGGGUGCUCUUUAGGGUUAACGCCCAGAAGAGCCGCAGUGAAUAGGCCCAAGCGACUGUUUAUCAAAAACACAGGUCUCUGCUAAACCGUAAGGUGAUGUAUAGGGGCUGACGCCUGCCCGGUGCUGGAAGGUUAAGAGGAGUGGUUAGCUUCUGCGAAGCUACGAAUCGAAGCCCCAGUAAACGGCGGCCGUAACUAUAACGGUCCUAAGGUAGCGAAAUUCCUUGUCGGGUAAGUUCCGACCCGCACGAAAGGCGUAACGAUUUGGGCACUGUCUCAACGAGAGACUCGGUGAAAUCAUAGUACCUGUGAAGAUGCAGGUUACCCGCGACAGGACGGAAAGACCCCGUGGAGCUUUACUGUAGCCUGAUAUUGAAAUUCGGCACAGCUUGUACAGGAUAGGUAGGAGCCUUUGAAACGUGAGCGCUAGCUUACGUGGAGGCGCUGGUGGGAUACUACCCUAGCUGUGUUGGCUUUCUAACCCGCACCACUUAUCGUGGUGGGAGACAGUGUCAGGCGGGCAGUUUGACUGGGGCGGUCGCCUCCUAAAAGGUAACGGAGGCGCUCAAAGGUUCCCUCAGAAUGGUUGGAAAUCAUUCAUAGAGUGUAAAGGCAUAAGGGAGCUUGACUGCGAGACCUACAAGUCGAGCAGGGUCGAAAGACGGACUUAGUGAUCCGGUGGUUCCGCAUGGAAGGGCCAUCGCUCAACGGAUAAAAGCUACCCCGGGAUAACAGGCUUAUCUCCCCCAAGAGUUCACAUCGACGGGGAGGUUUGGCACCUCGAUGUCGGCUCAUCGCAUCCUGGGGCUGUAGUCGGUCCCAAGGGUUGGGCUGUUCGCCCAUUAAAGCGGUACGCGAGCUGGGUUCAGAACGUCGUGAGACAGUUCGGUCCCUAUCCGUCGUGGGCGUAGGAAAUUUGAGAGGAGCUGUCCUUAGUACGAGAGGACCGGGAUGGACAUACCUCUGGUGUACCAGUUGUCGUGCCAACGGCAUAGCUGGGUAGCUAUGUAUGGACGGGAUAAGUGCUGAAAGCAUCUAAGCAUGAAGCCCCCCUCAAGAUGAGAUUUCCCAACUUCGGUUAUAAGAUCCCUCAAAGAUGAUGAGGUUAAUAGGUUCGAGGUGGAAGCAUGGUGACAUGUGGAGCUGACGAAUACUAAUCGAUCGAAGACUUAAUCAA
rnacentral:rRNA from 1 species